rnacentral:tRNA from 1 species
GUUUAUAUAGUUUAUAAAAAACAUUUUAUUUUCAUUAAAAAAAAGAUAAUUAAUUAAAUCUGUAAAUU